ensembl:lncRNA
GUGUGUGUGUGUGUGUGUGUGUGCGGUGUGUGUGUGUAUUUCACAAUAUAUUCUCAGCCAUGGCAACAUGUCUGUAUUUGGGGGGAUGGCUCUGUGGGGGAAACUCCCCGGCCGCUUCUUAAAGGACGCCCCCUGACCCUAGCCCCCCAAAGGGCAGGGAAACCCCCCCUAAUAUCAGGGAACCUGGAGAAGGAACCCAGAAGAGGGAUCCCUCUCCAGGGAUGGUAGGAGUGCAAUAGGAGACGUAAUAAUGUGCAGACGUAAUGGUAGCAUAACAAGUGCUAUCUGAGAGAUUCCUCUAUCUAUCGAUAUCUCUUGUCUUUAUAGUGUAACACAUAAAAGCCGUUGCUUUAGUUAUUUCAAGAUUUUGUUUUAUAUGUACUUAAAGGAUUUUUGCACUUUUGGUGUACAUCUUCAUCGUUGAAGGCCCUGACUCUCCUUUAUAGUCAACCCCCACCACACGUUAUCGUCGUCAUUUUGAAUACCCAAAGGCACUUUUAAGAGCCACGUCCAUCUGUCUGCCUUUCUGUCUGGCUGUCUGUCUAUCUAUCUGCCUGUUUGGCUGUCUAACUGUCUGUCUGUCUGUCUGUCUGUCUGUCUGUCUGUCUGUCUGUCUGUCUGUCUGUCUGUCUGUCAGUCUGUUUGUGUUGCAAUGGCCAUGAGACAUACCAUUGACCGCCAGCAUCCCAGCUACAAAGAGGGGAAACGUAAAUUGCUUGAAAGUAAACAAGACCACCUUAUAGCUGAAGCUGAG